AAAAACAUAAGUUAGCAACAAAA
rnacentral:misc_RNA from 1 species